rnacentral:rRNA from 1 species
UACGUAGGUGGCAAGCGUUAUCCGGAAUUAUUGGGCGUAAAGCGCGCGCAGGUGGUUUCUUAAGUCUGAUGUGAAAGCCCACGGCUCAACCGUGGAGGGUCAUUGGAAACUGGGAGACUUGAGUGCAGAAGAGGAUCGCGGAAUUCCCGGUGUAGAGGUGAAAUUCGUAGAUAUCGGGAGGAACACCAGUGGCGAAGGCGGCGAUCUGGGAAGAUACUGACGCUGAGGUGCGAAAGCGUGGGGAGCAAACAGG